UUCUAAAAUGUGAGAUUUGGGUUUUCAUAAGGUAGGGCUCUGCUCAAUCAGUGGCCGCCCCUGUGAAGGGACAUGGGCUAUAAAACUUUUCAAACACGCCCUCCUCUCCCUUCCUAUAUAAAGCCUUGACGACAAUAUAACCUCCUGUUCCGAGGAUGAAGGUCCAAUGUCAGAAUGGUUCAGAUAAUAACUACAGAACAAAGCCAACAUCAGCGUGAGCUUUGGUUGCGAAUGGUAUGAACUUUGACUCUUAUUCACUACAGAAGUGAUACCUCCUAGCCGUUGAGUUAGCAACAGCAGAUGCAAACGCAGGUUAGGAAGGAACAGACAGAGUCUGUCUACCACACAACGACGUUACAACAACGUAUUCAAUUUACCAGCAGAGACAUUCUUCAAAGGACUCGGUUGGGCAACACGGUCUUCCAUCUACCACCAACCUACCGAAGCGCAGCUCAGACUGCCAUAUCUGUUCCACCCGCUCGGGAUGUUUUCCUUUAUGACGCAAUUUGUAAUCAAGGACCUCCAACAGCCAAAGCUAAGUAGUAACAUUAACAUGAUGCCUUCUAAUUGCAGUCGCUGUACUCAUAAUAUACAGGAGAACGAUCGCCUUACGGCGAGGAUAGCUGUGCUUCAAGCCCAGCUUCAGAUGCAA